rnacentral:rRNA from 1 species
GAUGAACGCUAGCUACAGGCUUAACACAUGCAAGUCGAGGGGAAACGAUAGAGAAAGCUUGCUUUUUCUAGGCGUCGACCGGCGCACGGGUGAGUAACGCGUAUCCAACCUGCCCAUCACUUGGGGAUAACCUUGCGAAAGUAAGACUAAUACCCAAUGACGUCUCUAGAAGACAUCUGAAAGAGAUUAAAGAUUUAUCGGUGAUGGAUGGGGAUGCGUCUGAUUAGCUUGUUGGCGGGGUAACGGCCCACCAAGGCGACGAUCAGUAGGGGUUCUGAGAGGAAGGUCCCCCCACAUUGGAACUGAGACACGGUCCAAAACUCCUACGGGAGGCAGCAGUGAGGAAUAUUGGUCAAUGGACGAGAGUCUGAACCAGCCAAGUAGCGUGCAGGAUGACGGCCCUAUGGGUUGUAAACUGCUUUUAUAAGGGAAUAAAGUGAGUCUCGUGAGACUUUUUGCAUGUACCUUAUGAAUAAGGACCGGCUAAUUCCGUGCCAGCAGCCG